UCAUGACUGGGGUGAAGUCGUAACAAGGUAACCGUAGGGGAACCUGCGGUUGGAUCACCUCCUUACCUUAAAGAA
rnacentral:rRNA from 6 species